CCAGGCAUGGUGGUGUGUGCCUGUAGUCUAGCUACUUGGGAGGCUAAGGUGGGAGGAUUGUUUGAGCCAGGAAGGUCAAGUCUUCAGUGAGCUGUAAUUGCACCACUGCACUCCAGCCUGGCCAACAGAGCAAGAUUCCAUCUCAAAAAAAAAAAAAAAAAAAAAAAAAAAAUCCAGGUCAGAACUCAGAGUUCUGGCUGUGUCCACGCAGCAGUUACAAACCCUUGAAUCAGGUAGCUAAUCCCAUGAAGCCUCAGCUCCCUUAGCUUUAAAAUCAGGAUAAUGUGGAAAACAGUGUGAAGAAUUCUCAAGGAACUAAAAAAUAGAACUACCAUUCGACCCAGCA